UUUCCGUAGGUGAACCUGCGGAAGGAUCAUUACAGAGUUCAUGCCCGAAAGGGUAGACCUCCCACCCUUGUGUGUUAUUACUUUGUUGCUUUGGCGAGCGCAAGCUUGACAGAGAAUACCAAAACUCUUUUUAUUAAUGUCGUCUGAGUACUAUAUAAUAGUUAAAACUUUCAACAACGGAUCUCUUGGUUCUG
rnacentral:misc_RNA from 1 species